rnacentral:lncRNA from 1 species
GAGCCAGUUAGAUGUUGAAGGUUCAAAUAUGGCGUCAGUGUCCGGUUUUAGACCCAAAUGGGCUAAUACUCCGCUUUAAUGCGCCUCCGAUUGAGGAACACAAAAAACUGUGUGUAAACAAAAAAUCUCUUUGUAGUGAUAUUGAACAUAUUUCUAUGUUAACACAUGACUGAGCUUAACCAUUUGUGUUGAUUUGGAAAGAAGAGGAC